rnacentral:rRNA from 1 species
GAUGAACGCUGGCGGCGUGCCUAAUACAUGCAAGUCGAGCGAACGGACGAGAAGCUUGCUUCUCUGAUGUUAGCGGCGGACGGGUGAGUAACACGUGGAUAACCUACCUAUAAGACUGGGAUAACUUCGGGAAACCGGAGCUAAUACCGGAUAAUAUUUUGAACCGCAUGGUUCAAAAGUGAAAGACGGUCUUGCUGUCACUUAUAUAUGGAUCCGCGCUGCAUUAGCUAGUUGGUAAGGUAACGGCUUACCAAGGCAACGAUGCAUAGCCGACCUGAGAGGGUGAUCGGCCACACUGGAACUGAGACACGGUCCAGACUCCUACGGGAGGCAGCAGUAGGGAAUCUUCCGCAAAGGGCGAAAGCCUGACGGAGCAACGCCGCGUGAGUGAUGAAGGUCUUCGGAUCGUAAAACUCUGUUAUUAGGGAAGAACAUAUGUGUAAGUAACUGUGCACAUCUUGACGGUACCUAAUCAGAAAGCCACGGCUAACUACGUG